UACGGAGGGAGCUAGCGUUGUUCGGAAUUACUGGGCGUAAAGCGCACGUAGGCGGCUUUGUAAGUUAGAGGUGAAAGCCCGGAGCUCAACUCCGGAACUGCCUUUAAGACUGCAUCGCUUGAAUCCAGGAGAGGUGAGUGGAAUUCCGAGUGUAGAGGUGAAAUUCGUAGAUAUUCGGAAGAACACCAGUGGCGAAGGCGGCUCACUGGCCCGGUACUGACGCUGAGGUGCGAAAAGCGUGGGGGAGCAAACAGG
rnacentral:rRNA from 1 species